rnacentral:lncRNA from 1 species
GAAUUCCAGUGAUCCACACAAUCUUUUUGGAUCUUGGAGACCAGAUUUGGGUGGAAGUUAAGGAGGGGUUGUUUAUUUGAGGAUUUGCUAUCAAUUUCAGCUAUUGUUUAAAGAUUCUACACCAUAUUGCCUAUGCGCUAUGGUUCUUGAUGUCCCCUCCCAGAGAUAUGUUGAUGAUGGAAUUAUGGCUAGAGUUACUUAUUGCAACCUGACCUGAUCCACUUCCUGUGGUGGGAAAUGAUAGUUUGAUAAAAUGAAAAGGGGAAUACAGGGUAUGUAUCUCAGC